UGGGGAAUAUUGCACAAUUGGCGCAAGCCUGAUGCAGCCAUGCCGCGUGUAUGAAGAAGGCCUUCGGGUUGUAAAGUUCUCUCAGUCGGGAGGAAGGUGUCAAGGUUAAUAACCUUGGCAAUUGACGUUACCGACAGAAGAAGCACCGGCUAACUCCGUGCCAGCAGCCGCGGUAAUACGGAGGGUGCAAGCGUUAAUCGGAAUUACUGGGCGUAAAGCGCACGCAGGCGGUUGCUUGAGUCAGAUGUGAAAUCCCCGGGCUUAACACGGAAAUAGAAUCUGAUACUGGUCAGCUAGAGUCUUGUAGAGGGGGGUAGAGUUCCAUGUGGAGCGGUGGAAUGCGGAGUGAUGUGGGGGAAUAACGGUGGCGAAGGCGGCCCCCUGGACAAAGACUGACGCUCAGGUGCGAAAGCGUGGGGAGCAAACAGG
rnacentral:rRNA from 1 species